UCUGCUGGUUGAGAGGCUUGGUCAUCGGAUCCGCCACAUUCAGUCCAGACUCGACUCUCUACACCUCGACGAACUUCUCUUCAAAAUAUUCGCGUAUAAUGUUAAACUAUCGCUCUACAUGCUUGGACUUCUGGUGAGACCUGGGCUCCUUAGCGAUGGCUAUGGCAUCGUUGUUGUCACAAUGCAGUACAACGGCAUCUGAUGUCAACACACCCAGCUUCGCAACAAACUUCUUAAACUAAAAGGCUUCCUUAGUAGCUUCAGAGGUGAUGAUGUAUUCGGCUUCCAU
rnacentral:lncRNA from 1 species